GCCUGUACAGUUCCUGCAGCUGUCUGCUAAAAAGGAAUUUAAUUCAAAGUGUGAAAUAUGGGGAUGCUUCCAGCUGCCUUAGUGUAGAGAAUGAUGUGAGAAAAUACCUCUUUACUCUUGGAAACAAUGUUCAUCUCAAAUGUGUUCCUCUUUCAAAUCUGGCAAGAGUGGUGUGGAAGUUCAAUGGGAGCCGAAUUCAGGAUAAGGACUCCAAAUACCUCCUCUAUGAUGGAGGAAUAGCAAUAUUUAAUGCCACAGUAGCUGAGUCUGGAUUCUAUGAUUGCCUCUCAGUAGAGAGAUCCAAAGCAAAGGAAUUCUUUAUCACUGUGGCCCGUUACGCCCUUUAUGCACGUCAGAGUACAGAGAAGGCAAAUGUUGAUGCUGCAACAGAUAGCAAUAACGAAGCAGAAGUUGUAGGAUUUCAGUCUUCAGUAUCAACUUAUUUACUGAAAGAUGCAACAAAACAGAAAUUUGCGGGCAGCCAAAAGGAGAAUCUUGUUUUAAAACUCCUGGGUGCAGGUUUUGCUCUUCUUUUUUUUUUCUUGUUCACUUGGAAUUUCUACAAGGGCCAUGUAUCUCUGCCUUGGAGGAUCAGAGACACCAGCUCCAAAGACACCAAUGCAGACUUGGAAAAUCCAGAACUGAGCACAGAAAGAUCAGGGACUGUAAGAGAGAGUUCAGCAGUCCAAACAGACACAUCUUUUCUUAAUGAAUAAACGCUUGUGAGUUUUUCUCAAGGCGUGCAGCACAGUGCAGGCUGUGCAGUGUGUGCAGCUCGUGGAGUUGCUUGGUUCAGAUGACGUUUCCUUCUAAGGAAUGUGGAAUGUAAAUUUGGGUAGGAGUCAGAAGCUCAGAACUGAAGAUGACAAGCUGCAUUGUGCAUGGCAUAGGCAUGUUACCAGCUGGUACUUUUAAAAGCAAAAUGCCUUUUUGACACAUCAGAACCAUAAGUUUUUUUUUUCAAAAAUUGACACUGAUCCACUUUUUUGUAUUGUUGGAGUCGCCCAAUUACAGAAAUUAAUACUUCAGAAGCUAAUAAUACUUAGCAUUUAGUGCCUUUCACCUUCAGACUUUGUGUUUAAUCUACGAAUAGCAACUAAUUAAGUCUCCCAAUGCCCCAAGAGGUUGCUACUACCCUCAUUUUUCAUCAGGUUAAAUUACUUGUCACUGACCAUAGUAUUGGUGUCAGAUCCAAUGCUUUGUUAGAAGUCCCUGAGUCGUCUUCACAUUUUCCUCUCUUUUCUCUUUAUUUAACUGUUUUUAAAACUUCCCAUACAUUUACUUUUCUAAUGUGCUUUUAGUGAUAUUAUGACGGCAUCUUUUCUGUCCAGAAGUGUCAUGAACUGACGUAAAUACUGCCUAAAUUGUUCUGGAUUUAUUUCUAAGGUUUGGUCAGAACUCAAACUGUGUAGCUCCUUUUGUUAAAGGCCAUUGAAAGUUGAGUAUUUUUUUUUUCUGAAACUCUUUUUCUUUUUUCAAAUAAAAGUUAUCUUACAUUUUCUCGUUUGGAAAAU
rnacentral:lncRNA from 1 species